AUGGGGAGGCCGUCUUCGACGGCGAAGCUGGUGUGCGUGGCCCUGGCGGCGCUGGCCGUGCUGUCGCCGCUGUACAUGGACCGGGACCUCGAGGCGGAGGAGGAGGAGGAGGAGGAGGGCUGGGGCCUACUGCUGCCGUCGGCGCUGUGGCUGCCGGCGCUGCUGGUGGUGCUCAUCCUGGCCAUCAACGUGGCGUGCUUCGUGGACCGGAGGGUCGUCAGGUUCGACCCCUACUGGAUCCACCGCGUCGGGGGCUCCUCCUGCGGCCUCAUGGCCACGCUGCUGCUGCUCGGCUUCGUCCUCAAGUGCAAGGGCUAG
rnacentral:rRNA from 1 species